rnacentral:RNase_P_RNA from 1 species
ACUGCAGACCGCCUUAUCGCCGCGAUUAUAUCGGGGAGGAAAGUCCGGACACCACAGAGAAGCAUAGCGGGUAACGCCCGUCGGUUCCGAUUUAUCAGGAUUAGGACAAGUGCAACAGAAAGUAUGUACAGGUAAUGCUGUAGUGAAACCAGGUAAACUCUAUGCGGUGAAAUUUCAAGUAUAUCGGCAUUUAAGGGUUCUCGCCCGUUGUCGAAGGGUAGAAAGAUGGAGCACAUGAGCAAUUGCGUGCCUAGAUAAAUGAUAAGGCUCCGAUUUAUCGGGGACAGAAUCCGGCUUACAGGUCUGCUUUUUUA